rnacentral:lncRNA from 1 species
CAGGUAUCCCUUUCCAAAGCAAAUGAUCUGAAACAGGACCCCUUAUUGCUAUGCAUGUUCUCUACCUUCUUGCUGUGUUUAUUUUUUGAACUAUUAUAUAAACUUGUAUUAUCCCUUUUUAUUUCAUUUACUUAUUACCUGUGUAUCAAACCCUCAUGGAGACUCUAUCAAGGUCGGUGCUUCUGCUUUGCUCUCAACUGUGUUCCCAGCGUCUAGAACAGAACAAUAUGAGAAGAGAACAGCAAUCACACUAUCCACUACAUCCUUUGUAAACUUUUCUGUGGUUGGCUUUGUAAAAGUUAUCUGGCCUGUGUAAAGAAUCAGGAGGCCAGGCAUGGUGGCACACCUGAAGUCCCAGCUACUUGGGGGUGCUGAGGUGAGAGGAUCACUUGAGCCCAGGAGUUCAAGACCAGUCUGGGUAAUAUAGCAAGACCCUCGACAAUAUAACCAAGAGGACAUAAAACUAAGAAAGUAUGAAUCUAAGUUAAUGUGUCCCUAUGUGUAUCCCUGAGAACACUAGUGUCAGAUGCUAAUUUGGAUAUUCUUGCAAAUCGGUUUCAUGGUCAAAUAUAUGUGAGAAAUAAAGUGAGUCAUAUUUAUUUACUGAAGCUUUUUUUCAGAGUCUUUCAUAUGCUAAUUGUUAAUAGACUUUAAGGGUACAAUAUGGAGAGUUCCAAAGCUUUGGCAAUUUCAAUCUUUGUUUUAUAAAUUGUAAAUUAACAAAAUAUAGUUGUAUAUGUUUAUGGGGUACAAAGUGAUAUUAUGUUUAUGAAUGCAAUAUGGAAUAAUU